CGUGUGCGCGCACCGCGAGAAACGUGCAAAACACAUUGUCAGAUUAAUUGUCGUCCGGCUACACAUUCGGCGGGUCGUAAUCUUUCUCUAGUCUCAAAUCAAAUCAAACAAACCCUCAAAGUACUCCGAUUAUUAAUCAACACAGUUCACGUGUCACGACGUCUAAUCUACCAUCCCAACGUAACUCUAGUACAAAAGUCUACGGUGGGACAAAUACGAAAGCUAGCGUAGCCAGUAUAUUACAACAUAAAUAUAGAGUGACAGAGAUAGAAAAUGUUUACAACAUAACCGACAGGUAUUCGCAAGGUUCCACUGAUACUUUCGUCGACUAUGCGAAGCGAUUAGAAUGCAAUGACCUCCUUCUGCGCCAUGGUAAUGGUAAUUCCAAUUAUUACGAUCAAUGAUACGAUUAUCCCAGAAUACAUAAUUGGUUUAAUCUUCUGCCAGCGUGACUAUAUAGGAUAUAAGCAUCGGAAAUUUCGAGUAAGUGUAUGUAUCUAACGCGUUAUUGCUCGAUUUUCAACCCUUUAUGGAAGAGACAUGCGUUCAUCUAUGUAAAUUGUACAGUGAUGCAAUAAAGGUACUUAUUAUUAUGUUAAUCUAUUUAUCAUCAAAUUAAUUUAAUAAUAAAUAGUUCGUAGUACGUAUUUUAUGGAAUGCAAUAUUUUUAUUUAAAUUUUCAAUUAAACAUGAAGUGACCAGUUUAUUCGUAUUACUGCGAAUCUGUUACA